rnacentral:tRNA from 1 species
GGGUGAUUAGCUCAGUUGGGAGAGCACCUCCCUUACAAGGAGGGGGUCACUGGUUCGAACCCAGUAUCACCCACCA